CGCCUCUGAUUUAACUCUGCAGAACGCUGAGUGGUUUAACCUUUCGGGUUCUUUAAAUAAACUCUCUUUGCUCUGAAUGCCAUUCUAGCUUGGACUGGAACCAGCAGAGCGGCUGGCUCCUCCCCAUUUCCCCGUGCUCAAUGGAUGCGCCUUCUUACCAGGCGGGUGCGGUGCUGCCUGCAGUCACACGGCCCGUGUCUGCCACGCGCGCACGUCAGCUGUGCGUGAGGACCUUGGAGAGUCAGCUGCAAACGUCCUCAGCUUGAGGCAGACAUUGCCUUUUGGGUUACUCUGCUACCAGAAUGUUCUGCCUCCUGCCAAAGACAGUCAAGUCAGGGCACAUCUCCCCAGUGCAGAGAAAACAUCAGUUUUAUAGGAAACCCCAACACAACCUUUCAUAUGUGCGCACAAGGGCUCCCAUCCCUCCAGCACAUCUGGGGACCUGGGAGAUGCAUGGAAAGAUUUGUAAUUAAAAUGCUCCCUCUUCAUGUACAGGUGCAUCCUGGAAAAAAAGUGGACCUGAAAGAACCCAAUUCCAGAGGGAAGGCUCCCGAUGGCAGGUCACUCCCGCCAAGUCUGGGACUGAAGCCCCCACAAGAUUAUGGAGCUGAUUCUAGUCAGACUAGUUCCAGAUGUGUUUGCCGUCAGAGGAGAGGUCUUGCUGAGGUGGCCAGUGAGAUCCCCGUGCGUGCCAGUUGCUGUGGAGAUGGGACAUGUCCAAGCCCGGACGUGAACUUAAGUCUCUUGUCCAGUUGUGGAGACUAGACCUUAGGAGCAACUGGACAACAAGAGAGAAGAUGGCUCAAAAUCAGGGGCUAUGCUAUUUGCUGAGUGAGUUGAAAUAAGGAUAUUAUUGAAGGUUCAAGUAAUCCAGGAGGGCUUCAUGAAGGAGAGACUUGAGUUAGAAGGUGACAGAUUUAAUAGAAAGAGCAAGUAAAAUAUCAUACGAGCAAGUAAACUCAAUUAACACAGAGUUAGGACAGCCCUCUGCUCUUCCUCCUGGUGCCCUCCUGAGGACUGGCGCUCUGCUCUCCACACACCAUGGACACACUCCAGAAGACGAGCGCGUCACCCAGGAGGAGAGGUCUCACCGACUCCCCCUCCAGUCUCCAGCUGUCGCUUCCACUGGCCGACCCCAGCCAGAAGCCAGAGGGCGGGGGUCCCUGACACAGACCACGAGACCGGUGCCCAGGG
rnacentral:lncRNA from 1 species